AAAAAAAAUUAAUUAAUCAUUUUAGAAUGAAGGAGUUGCUAUGCUUAGUGUGUGACUCGUUGGUUUUUUUUUAUAGUGGUUAAAUUUCUACAAAAAUUCGUAGAAUUUAUUAUUAUAAAAAACCUACUCAUCGCUUCCCAUUAUCUGGAGAUAAAGAACCGCCUAAAAUCUAAAAUCAAAAUAAGGAUGUGGUCAUAUAAUUAUAGCAACUGAAAUAAAAAAAUCAGAUUAUUAGUCGUAAAGCAAUAAGAAUAUACAGAUAAAUGAAGGGGUGAAAGAAAGAUAGAAAAAGGAUAUCAAUGAUAUAGAAUUCUACUAUGUAAAGGUCUAUGGGUCAUCUCAUAAAAAGGUAGUGUAAUAAAGCAUUAAAUUUCUACAAAAAUUCGUAGAAUUAAUUAUUAUAAAAAACCUACUCAUCGCUUCCCAUUAUCUGGAGAUAAAGAACCGCCUAAAAUCUAAAAUCAAAAUAAGGAUGUGGUCAUAUAAUUAUAGUAACUGAAAUAAAAAAAUCAGAUUAUUAGUUGUAAAGCAAUAAGAAUAUACAGAUAAAUGAAGGGGUGAAAGAAAGAUAGAAAAAGGAUAUCAAUGAUAUAGAAUUCUACUAUGUAAAGGUCUAUGGGUUAUCUCAUAAAAAGGUAGUGUAAUAAAGCAUCAAUAUUCAAAAUUCAUCCAUAUAUGGUUGAAUAUAUUCCUAGAAUAAACGAAUCAAGAGCCACGAAUCAAGAAAACUGAGAAGGUUGAUUCAACAAAAAUGAAUCAAAUAAGAAAAUGUUAAAAAAUAAAAAAUUAUCUUAUUAAUAUUCAAGAGGCUCCAUUGUAGAAUUUAGACCUAACCAUAAAUAGAAAAGCGAUGGGAACGACGGAACCUGUGAAUACAAAAGACUCCAUUGUAGAAUUUAGACCUAACCAUAAAUAGAAAAGCGAUGGGAACGACGGAACCUGUGAAUACAAAAGAUUCUAUUAAAAUUAGAAAUCUUACUUACUGAUUCAUUAGAUGGGAUGGCGGAAGCAACUAAGAAUUCAUUGUUUUUGGAGGAGUUGUGGACUAACUCAACAUUACAUCUUCAAUUUAUAAUCAGAGAGUCAAUAUUCGCCCGCGAAAAUGUGGAUUUUUCGGAAUUUAGAAAUUUUUGCCAAUCCAAUUUGAUAAUAAUAAAAAAAAAAAAGACAAAUACGGAUUUGUUAGAACCUUAAUAUCCAAAAAUAUUAGCUAGUUUAGAUACAGAUAGAAAAAAUGGUCUAUAAGAAUACAUAUUUCGUUAUAUAUCAAAGCGAGAUUCAAAAAUUUCUAAUAGAUCCAUAGAUUCUAUGUCAAAAAAUCCCGCGAUUAUAUUCUAUUUCAUUUUCUAUUUUAUUAAACAUAUGUAUCUUAUUGUAUAUUAUUUUAAUUAUUAUUAUUUUUUUGAUCGGUUCAAUAUUUUUCAAUUGAUUUAUUUGCGAGGAGCCGUAUGAGGUGAAAAUCUCAUGUACGGUUCUGUAAUAGAGAUGGAAUUGAGAAAUAACCAUCAACUAUAACCCAAAAAGAACGAGAUUCCGCAAACAUCAUAGAGGAAGAAUGAAAGGAAAAGCCUCUCGCGGUAAUAAAAUUUGCUUUGGAAAAUAUGCUCUUCAGGCACUUGAGCCCGCUUGGAUCACAUCUAGACAACUAGAAGCGGGUCGACGGGCAAUGUCACGAAAUGUUCGCCGGGGUGGACAAAUAUGGGUACGCAUAUUUCCAGACAAACCUGCUACAGUAAGACCUACCGAAACGCGUAUGGGUUCGGGAAAAGGAUCGCCCGAAUAUUGGGUAGCUGUCGUUAAACCCGGCAAAAUACUUUAUGAAAUGGGAGGGGUCCCAGAAAAUAUCGCUAGAAAGGUAAUUUCAAUAGCGGCAUCCAAAAUGCCUAUACGAACUCAAUUCAUUCUUUCCAAAUAAUCAUUAGAACGAAAGAGGUCUUUAGUAUGAAAAAAGGCAAUUCUCCGUUUCUUUUUUUUUUUUGAACACAAAUCCAAAAUGCCUAUACGAACUCAAUUCAUUCUUUCCAAAUAAUCAUUAGAACGAAAGAGGUCUUUAGUAUGAAAAAAGGCAAUUCUCCGUUUCUUUUUUUUUUUUUGAACACAUAAUAUUUUUUUUUACUUCAACUUUUUGACUCAAAGAUAAGAAAAAAGGAUAUGAUUCAACCUCAAACCUAUUUAAAUGUAGCCGAUAAUAGUGGAGCGCGCGAAUUGAUGUGUAUUCGAAUCAUAGGAGCUAGUAAUUGACGGUAUGCUUAUAUUGGUGACAUUGUUGUUGCUGUAAUCAAAAAAGCAGUGCCAAAUUCAUCUUUAGAAAGAUCUCAAGUCAUCAGAGCUGUAAUUGUACGUACUUGUAAAGAACUAAAACGUCGUAACGGUAUAAUAAUAAAGUAUGAUGAUAAUGCAGCGGUUCUCAUUGAUAAAGAAGGAAAUCCAAAAGGAACUCGAAUUUUUUCCGCAAUAGCCCGAGAAUUGAGACAGUUAAAUUUCACGAAAAUUAGUUUCAUUAGCACCCGAGGUAUUAUAAUCAGAGAUCAUGAUAUAGAUAUAUUAUCAUAACUUGAAUGAAUAGGAAGGAAAUAGAUUAGAAUAGGAAUGAAAUAUAUAUUCUAUUUCAAUAUAUUCAAAAUAAAAAUUCGAAUUCUAUUUGUAUAAAAAAAAAAAUAGAAUUCGAAUUCAAUAUAAGAUUAUUUAUAUAGUUUCGAAUAGGUCAUUCGUUCAUUUUCUUUCUAUCUUUUUUUUUAGUUUUAGAAUAUUCUAUAUUCUAUAUUGAGAUUGUCGUAAUGACAAUCAGAUUUUCUAUACAUAUAGAAAGUAUUAUUCUAUUCUCAUAUUCAAUAUUAGAUAUUUUAUUGAAUCAAAAAAUAAAAAAUCAAAAAACGGGAGCACGUUGAUUAUAUGGAAAGGAAGGAGUAAAAAUCGAUUGUGGGUAAAGAUACUAUCGCUGAUAUACUAACCUUGAUACGCAAUGCUGACAUGAAUAGAAAAAGAACUGUUCAAAUACCACUUACUAAUAUCACCGAAAACAUUGUAAAAAUUCUUUUACGAGAGGGUCUUGUUGAAAACGUCAGAAAACAUCGAGAAAGCAACAAAUACUUUUUAGUUUUAACUCUACGGUAUAGAAGAAAUAGGAAAGGAUCAUAUAAAAGUUUUUUAAAUUUAAAAAGGAUUAGUACACCUGGUCUACGAAUCUAUUCUAACUAUCCCAAAAUUCCGAAAGUUU
rnacentral:lncRNA from 1 species